GCCAAACAGCUAGCUCAACCACCUAAUAACUAAACAAUGUAUAUAAAACAAAAUAAGCCUAACACCAAAAAUUAAACCAUUCUUUUACCUUAGUAUGGGAGACAGAAAAGGUCACACCUGGAGCAAUAGAGAUAGUACCGCAAGGGAAAGCUGAAAGAGAAAUGAAAUAACUUAUAUAAGCACAAAAAAGCAAAGAUUAAAUCUUGUACCUUUCGCAUCAUGAUUUAGCCAGUAUACCCAAGCAAAGAGACCUUUAGUUUGAAACCCCGAAACCAGAUGAGCUACCCCGAGACAGCCUAUUAAGGGCCAACCCGUCUCUGUGGCAAAAGAGUGGGAAGAGCUCCGGGUAGAGGUGACAAAUCUACCGAACCUGGUGAUAGCUGGUUGCCUAAGAAGUGAAUAGAAGUUCAGCCUCGUACUCCCCUGAUCAAAGAAUAUAGAGAAGAUGCUAAAGGGCAAUACACGAGAGUUAGUUGAAGGGGGUACAGCCCCUUUAACAAAGGACACAACCUUCCCAGGAGGAUAAAGAUCAUAAUACAUAAAACAUCCUGUUCUAGUGGGCCUAAAAGCAGCCACCUAAACAGAAAGCGUUAAAGCUCAGACAGAAGCGAGUUUAUUAUUCCGACAAAAAAUCUUACUCCCCUUAAUACUAUUAGGCCAGCCCAUGCUCACAUGGGAGAGACUAUGCUAAAAUGAGUAACAAGAAGGCCUGCCCUUCUCCAAGCACAGCUGUAAGCCAAAUCGGACCAACCAUUGGCAAUUAACGAACUCAACCCAAGAGAGCAAUGUGGAUUGCAACAAAACCAAGAAGAACCCACAUAAGUCCAUCGUUACCCCCACACUGGCGUGCUAUUAAAGGAAAGACUAAAAGAAGGGGAAGGAACUCGGCAAACACAAGCCUCGCCUGUUUACCAAAAACAUCGCCUCCUGCAACGAAACCAAGUAUAGGAGGUCCAGCCUGCCCAGUGACGAUAAGUUUAACGGCCGCGGUAUUUUGACCGUGCAAAGGUAGCGUAAUCACUUGUCUCUUAAAUGGAGACCUGUAUGAAUGGCCAAACGAGGGCUUAACUGUCUCCCCCUUCCAGUCAGUGAAAUUGAUCUAUCCGUGCAGAAGCGGG
rnacentral:rRNA from 1 species